rnacentral:piRNA from 1 species
UGGACUAUGUCGAGUUAGGGUGGAAAGGGG